GCUAACUACGGUCCAGGUGCCGCGGUAAUACGUAGGGUGCAAGCGUUAUCCGGAUUUAUUGGGCGUAAAGCGAGCGCAGGCGGUUUUUUAAGUCUGAGGUGAAAGCCCUCGGCUUAACCGAGGAAGCGCAUCGGAAACUGGGAAACUUGAGUGCAGAAGAGGACAGUGGAACUCCAUGUGUAGCGGUGAAAUGCGUAGAUAUAUGGAAGAACACCAGUGGCGAAGGCGGCUGUCUGGUCUGUAACUGACGCUGAGGCUCGAAAGCAUGGGUAGCGAACAGGAUUAGAUACCCGAGUAGUC
rnacentral:rRNA from 1 species